GUGAGAGUUACUUCUGUCUGGAAGAAGGACUUUCUUCCUCUUCAUCUCCUUCAUAGCUAUGUAUAUUCUGUCCUUGCUUUAUUUAUGUCCUCUUGAGUUGAUUUACUUCAUUUAUUAAUCUAGUUAUCCCUCACCCACUCCAGAAAGAAAAAAGUAAAGAGUUUUCCACUGACUAAGUCAUGUGAAUCAAUUCAGGAAGGACUCUAACAAGUACUGAGGAAGUGGAAACCUGUGGCAAAAAGCAGCAAGGAGAAAAAAGCAGGGUGACAGAGGGUGUUGAGAUUCACUUUGCAGGAAUAGCUACUUGAGAGUUCUGAUGAGAGCAGUAUGACAAAAAUACUAAGAAAAGAAGAUGGUCCAACUCUGAUUUUAAUUAUGUUUUAUUUCAGCAUUUGGCAUUUGGAAGUUCUCAGAGAUCUGCAUCUGAGGACAUAGUGUAGGUGACUGUGCAGGAGGAAAACUGAGGUGCUUGAUGGAUGUCUUAACUCUUGACGAAAUGAAAGUCCUUGCGUGUAAGUGAAACCUUCUUCUGUAUAGGAUGUUAACUUAGUUUAGU
rnacentral:lncRNA from 1 species